rnacentral:rRNA from 1 species
UACGAAGGGGGCUAGCGUUGCUCGGAAUCACUGGGCGUAAAGCGCACGUAGGCGGAUCUUUAAGUCAGGGGUGAAAUCCCAAGGCUCAACCUUGGAACUGCCUUUGAUACUGGGGAUCUCGAGUCCGGAAGAGGUUGGUGGAACUGCGAGUGUAGAGGUGAAAUUCGUAGAUAUUCGCAAGAACACCAGUGGCGAAGGCGGCUCACUGGCCCGGUACUGACGCUGAGGUGCGAAAGCGUGGGGAGCAAACAGGG